rnacentral:rRNA from 1 species
UACAGAGGGGGCUAGCGUUAUUCGGAAUUAUUGGGCGUAAAGGGCGCGUAGGCGGCCAUGCGUGUCUUCCGUGAAAUCCCUCGGCUUAACUGAGGACGUGCGGAAGAAACUGCAAGGCUCGAGUCCGGGAGAGGGGGGUGGAAUUCCCAGUGUAGCGGUGAAAUGCGUAGAUAUUGGGUGGAACACCGGUGGCGAAAGCGGCCCCCUGGCCCGGUCCUGACGCUGAGGCGCGAAAGCGUGGGGAGCAAACAGG